GUCCGCGCCAUCCUUACGUUGCCGGGUGUGCAAUUACGUUUAUAUAAUAUAAUGAUUUAGGUAUAAUCAAUGGUGCAACGCUGAACGCAUAGCGAUUGCUAUAAAAUAGGAGCAGCAAUAGAAGUUGGGUAUUGUGAGCCGUUGCCGUUUUAGUCUGGUUGGCACUGUUGGCAGUAGUGUUCUCCGCCGCCGAAGACCAGGCGUCAGCUGCUGUCGUAUCACCACCGCGACCGCGGCCUCAGAUAAGAUUAUUUACCUUCCGUUUGUUGUUAAUUAUCUUGUUCGGCACCUUCUGAUCAUUCCUCGUUUAAUUGUAUAGAAUAAUAUUAAAAAAGCAAUAAAGUGACACGGUAAUAAUGCUUCUUUUUUUUUUAACCAUACCAGUUUUGUUGCGUUAUUUCAUUUUAUCAUAGUUUAUAAGACGUCCUACCCUCCGUCCACAUGAAUAAACAAACGUCGCAAGUAACGGGCGGCGACCAGCUAACGAAGUAUUUUAAUAUUCAAUAGCUCCGUGACGAAACGGAUGGAUAUUUGUGAAUUACUAAUAAAAGUUGUUACAGUCCCUUGCACAAGAAAAAAAAGGCGUAAAAUAAUCGAUUUAAACCUUAUGAUGAAAAGUUUUUGGGUUCUUUAAUUUUAUGAGCAACUAAUUAAAUUCUUGUAUUGCUAUUUGAAUAUCAUAAACAGGUACAGAACGAAAUUGCUGCCUUCCUAAUAAAACAUUUGCAGUCGCAUACACAGAAAAUAAUACUUUUAAAUCAAUUGUUUUGUAACUCAUGAUGAAAUAUUUAUGGAUUUUUUCCUUUUAUGAUCAUUUAAUUAUAUUCUUGUAAUGCUAUAUAGACAUUAUAAAUAACUCAAGCAAAAAGGUUGGCGGUUUAAAUGCAGAACAUGAAAAUUCCAAGCCUAACAAUAAAGAAGCAGAAAAAAUUUUAGGAGUUACUGAUUUUAGUGGCCCGUUGACAUUUUUAGUGAAGUUUAAAGGAAUUGAUGAAGCCGAGUUGAUACCAGCUAAAGAGGCUAAUAAAAAAUUCCCACAAAUCGUUAUCGAUUACUAUUCAUCAUUACCAAUAGAGUGGGUUUAGAUAAAUUAAAUGGCGUUUAAUAACUAUUAUAAUACAGAUAAGGAUGACAAGUGUUCAAAAAGGGACUUUUAUUUUAUAUCAUAUCUUAUUGUAAAUGUCUUCAAUUAUUUAAUUUUAUUAUAUGUAGUAGGUAUGCCUUACAGAUAAAUUUAUUAGUUCAUCAAUUAUUAAAUAUUUAAAUGUUAGUAAUUAAAUACUUUCAUAAAAUAGCAAUUUUUUUUUUAUUACAGUAUAAUAAUAGUGUUCUCUAAAAAAAAAUUAUUUCUUAAGAGGACACAUCCUAUUGUCACUGUCUUACAGAUGUAAAACAUAGCAAAAACUGUAUUGCACGGGAAAGAACCAAACUGCAAUCAUAACUAAGAAACAACAUUUUCACUACAUAAAAAGAAGAACAUUGGCUGUGAAAUAUUGUUAUUAUUUUUAGAUAUCUUGACUAAAAAUAAAAUUAUUAAAAAUAAUGGAUUUUGAAACAAUUAGAAAUUGUAUAAGUGAUAUAAAAUAAAUAAAAACGUUAUUUCACAGAUAAUGUUCUCAACUAUAUUAUUUAUCAAUUUGGAGUCUUAACUACAGUCAAAUUGGUUCUAUUCCGCGCUAAACAGCUUUUGCUGUGUUUUACGGAAACAACACGCAAGUGUAGUUUCCACUUAAAUGCCAAAAUAUGUUAAUUUAAGUUUAUUUAUUUGUUCAAAUGUUGAGUCUAAAUAUUGAAUACUUGUAUCUUAUUUUAAUAAUUAAAAGCAUUUUUUCACCGUA